UGCCAGCCUCCGCGGUACUACUGAUUAUCCAAGCGUUAUCCGGAAUCAUUGGGUUUAAAGGGUCCGCAGGCUGUUGUUUAAGUCAGAGGUGAAAGUUUGCAGCUCAACUGUAAAAUUGCCUUUGAUACUGGAUGACUUGAGUUAUAAUGAAGUGGUUAGAAUAUGUAGUGUAGCGGUGAAAUGCAUAGAUAUUACAUAGAAUACCGAUUGCGAAGGCAGAUCACUAAUUAUAUACUGACGCUGAGGGACGAAAGCGUGGGGAGCGAACAGGAUUAGAUA
rnacentral:rRNA from 1 species